rnacentral:tmRNA from 1 species
GGGGAUGACAUGGCUUCGACGUUGGUUAUGAAGCUCGUAGGUGCAUGCGGAGAGUGGAUUGUCUCUCCUAAAUCAACGUUCCAAACAAAUAGUCGCAAACGACGAAAACUACGCACUAGCCGCCUAAAUCCGGCUUAUGACCAAGCUUGCAUGCCAGUAUGCGGGGGCGGUCAGCGCAAAAAAUACUGGAUCGCUGUGAUGCUCGCCUCGCGCUGAUCAGCUAAAACCUAGAGGAUCGCUUGUUACACCCUGUCGCUCGGGCCGUAACCGGUUAAAUCAAUUGAGACGACUAAGCAUGUAGAUCCGAGAGUAGAGUGCUGGCGGACGCGGGUUCGAUCCCCGCCAUCUCCACCA